AUUUGUACUAUGGUGUUGGGAAUAUUAUUAAUGGGGAUAUUGGAUUACAUAAUGUGGAAAAUGGUGGAUUAGGGGUGAAUAACAAUGACCAAGAAGUGGGAUUAAUGCAUAAUUAUGAUCAAGAAAUAAGCAGUGGUGUAACAACAUCUACAACAAUGACCACAGUUAAACAAGAGAUGUGCAACAUGGCUAAAGAUCAAGGUGAUCACAACAGAGUUUUGUGGGGAUUUCCAUGGCAAAUUAAUGGAGAAGGAAUUAAUAUGGCUGAUUUUGAUUCAACUAGAAGAAUGUGGAAUGGAGUUGGUGGAUCUUCUUGGCAUGGACUUCUCAAUAGCCCUCUCAUGUAGAUGUUAGUAUACUAG
rnacentral:misc_RNA from 1 species